rnacentral:rRNA from 1 species
UACGUAGGUGGCAAGCGUUGUCCGGAAUUAUUGGGCGUAAAGCGCGCGCAGGCGGUUCCUUAAGUCUGAUGUGAAAGCCCACGGCUCAACCGUGGAGGGUCAUUGGAAACUGGGGAACUUGAGUGCAGAAGAGAAGAGUGGAAUUCCACGUGUAGCGGUGAAAUGCGUAGAGAUGUGGUGGAACACCAGUGGCGAAGGCGGGUCUCUGGGCAAUUCCUGACGCUGAGGCGCGAAAGCGUGGGGAGCAAACGGG